rnacentral:misc_RNA from 1 species
UGUGAGAGCGAGCUUGCUCGCGAUAGCGGUGGUUCAGUUUGCAUUCAUGUUGGAUGUACCACCGCCAAUCGCGAGCAAGCUCGCUCCCACA